rnacentral:tRNA from 1 species
UUAAUUGAAACCAAAUUAAGAGGUUUAUUACUGUUAAUAAUAAUAUUGAAGUUUCUUCCAAUUAAA